rnacentral:lncRNA from 1 species
UCUAAUGAAAUAUAUGAUUAUAUAAGAUUCUUUUGUUUCUGUUGUAUCAAAAUUCUAUAUAUAUCAGAGGAAAGGAAAAGGAGUGAUCCUCAAACCCACCUUCUGCUGACCCUGUAGCAUGCCAAAAUAAAACAGAUUCAAAAUCUAAAUACUUUGUAUUCAAGGAUUACUAGUGAAAGAACUGAUCAGCAGAUUCCACCACAUACUUAUAUAGAAUGCAUCACUUUAACAACCUAAUGACAUGAUUAUUAAGAAAAUCAAAGGCUAACAAUAGUACUUGCUCAAGAUCGUUUCAUUAAGAGGAAGGGCUCAGUUUAAAGAAGUGCAGACAAUUUACAGAAAGAAAAACAAUCUUCUUGAAAGUAAAUGAUAAGCAAAACAAGAAGAAAUAUCACAGGGAAGGAUUUCAUGUAUGUUUGCAGCCCAUAUCGAAAAAUCUGGAAUAUAUUCGGUAUCAUCAAAUACAGAGAUAUUUUUUUCUUUUUUAAUUAAGAUGCUAGCUGACACGUAAAAACAAAAUCUGUUUGGAAAAAUAUCCUUUUGUCCAAAUGCAACUUAAGAAAAAUUUAGAAAGUAUUCUGGUGUAAAGACGAUCUCUGGGUUUAGAUCUGAAUUUAAAAAUUGCAAUUUUUUUCAUGAUAAUAAAGGAAAAUAAAUGAAAGAAACUACGGAUGUCAAAACUUGUAGGAGCAUAAAGAUUAUCAAACAACAGUAAAGAUUGUAUCUCCAAUUUAGGGCUACAUCCGUCAACUAAAACUUGGUUGACCUUCAACCAGAUCCUGAGGUCACAACCGAUACCAAGAAGAUUGGUCAAGCCUUCUUGUGCAGAACUAUAGAAAACCAACGGAAGGGUUACAAAACAACUCACAGUUGGGACAAAGAAUCUUAUGGUUUUGAACAAAUCGGACGAAGACAGAGAGGUGAAAGCUGCAACCCAGCUAAACCAUGACGUCAUACAACCCCAUAACUGCUUCCAGAUUCGAUAAAAAGAUCCGGGAUCCAUGAAUCAAUACAAGAAGCAAGAAUUCUAACCAAACACAAAUUCAGAUGGCUCGGAAAGUUCAAGAAUCUCCAUUAUGAUUCUUGACCCAUCGAAAUCAAACAAGGAUAGAAACCCCAAUGCAACGAGAAUUUUGGAUUCAUCUAGGUAAUUCCAACUCUAUGGCAGAGGAUUAAGCAUCAAAACCCUAAAAAUUGGCGCAAGAAUCGAAAUCUUUAUCGAUGAAACCCAUUAAGAUAGUUGCGGGGAAAGAAGCUCACCGGAGGAGGGAUUCCGGGGAAAUCUCAGGAAAUUCGCAGCGUUGUACCCUCCUUCACUCGAUUCCCUUUCCCGUUGCGAGUCCAAAGGACCCGGCCAGGGGGAUUCGACCGAGGCGAGCCAAAGAAUCUCAGACAGUCGGAGAGACCAUGGAGG